UGAGUUACGACGAGGUGGUCUGGUCUCCAGUUUGUUUGCAUUGUCUGUACUUGGAUUUAGUUAGCUGUACGUAGUAACUAUUUAACCAAUGCCGAAACAAAAGCCAACCGUUGGAUUGAAGAGUGGAUUAAGGGUCACAUAGAACUAAAAAUUGACAAUAAAAAUAUUUUUUGUCAAGCAUGUUCUAAAACUAUUGUUUGUAACAAAAAAUACGACGUAACUCAGCAUUUAAAAACUGAUCGGCAUAAGGAGCAUAUAAAAAAAUAUGAGCAAAAUCAAGAUAAGCAACAAACUAUUUUGACUUCACUAGCUUCAAAUUAUCGUUUUAAUGAACAAAAACAAUUUUAUUUUGAUUUGUGUAGUGCUACGGUUAAAUCAGACAUUCCUAUGAAUAAAUUACAAAGUAGUUCGUUUAGACAAUUUCUAGAAAAAUAUUGUAAAAAAGCAUUCCAGAUGAGAGUACUCUUCGUAAAAAUUAUGCCCGUCCAAUUUAUGAUGGAACAAUGCAGCAAAUUAAGAAAAUUAUCGCAAAUAAUUAUAUAUGGUUUAUUGUAGAUAAAACACCUGGCACAUGUGGGAGAUAUGUAGCCAACUUGAUUAUAGGAGUCUUGAAUAAAGAUUGCAGUAUCCGCUGUUCAAUAAACGAAUAAAAAAUGGCAAAAAAAUAUUUUGUCAAAGCUC